UUCCCCGUUCGAUGUACUCAUUGGAUGUUGUUGUGUUAACGGCUCGCCAAAGCCGUUGAAUUGAAUCGUUCAAAAUCAAUCUAGCACACAAUUUUUCAAUUAAACUGAGAACGGGUUUUUUG
rnacentral:sRNA from 1 species